AACGAACGCUGGCGGCAGGCUUAACACAUGCAAGUCGAGCGCCCCGCAAGGGGAGCGGCAGACGGGUGAGUAACGCGUGGGAAUCUACCCUUUUCUACGGAAUAACGCAUGGAAACGUGUGCUAAUACCGUAUGAGCCCUUCGGGGGAAAGAUUUAUCGGGAAAGGAUGAGCCCGCGUUGGAUUAGCUAGUUGGUGGGGUAAAGGCCUACCAAGGCGACGAUCCAUAGCUGGUCUGAGAGGAUGAUCAGCCACAUUGGGACUGAGACACGGCCCAAACUCCUACGGGAGGCAGCAGUGGGGAAUAUUGGACAAUGGGCGAAAGCCUGAUCCAGCCAUGCCGCGUGAGUGAUGAAGGCCUUAGGGUUGUAAAGCUCUUUCGCCAGGGAAGAUAAUGACGGUACCUGGAAAAGAAGCCUCGGCUAACUCCGUGCCAGCCGCCGCGGUAA
rnacentral:rRNA from 1 species